GACAAGCACUUGAGGAUUGUCCCCGAGGCAAGCAGCCUGCUGUAUUAGAGUGGCUCCAGCCACCUCACCUCCAAAAUUAGUUUGCACAGCAGGACCAGCUCCCUUAAGCUUUGGCGGCUGUGACUUCUCCACUGUGAUGGACUGGAACCUGGACUCUGAGUUGAGACAAACCCUUUGUCAAGAACUCUGCGAUCCUGGAAUUAAGGACACGUGUCACCAUGCAUGCCCAGUUACAGGUCCUGAGUUCAAAUCCCAGCAACCACAUGGUGGCGCCCAACCAUCCGUAAUGAGAUCUGAUGCCCUCUUCUGGUGUGUUUAAAAACAGCUACAGUGUGCUCAUAUAUAAUAAAUAAAUAAAUCUUAAA